rnacentral:rRNA from 1 species
AUGAACGCUGGCGGCGUGUCUAAGGCAUGCAAGUCGAGGGACCGGCUUACCUUCGGGUGAGCGCGGACCGGCAAACGGGAGAGUAACACAUUGGUAAUCUACCUUUAUCUUGGGCAUAACCCGGAGAAAUCUGGGACAAUUCCCAAUAGUCAUGGGGGGACAUAAGUCAUUCCCAUGUAAAGUUCCGACGGAUAAAGAGGAGCCUAUGGCCCAUCAGCUAGUUGGUAGGGUAAUGGCCUACCAAGGCUACGACGGGUAGCAGGUGUGAGAGCAUGACCUGCCCCACUGGGACUGAGACACUGCCCAGACUCCUACGGGAGGCUGCAGUCAAGAAUCUUCCUCAAUGGACGAAAGUCUGAAGGAGCAAUGCCGCGUGAUCGAUGAAGCCCCUCUGGGUGUAAAGAUCUUUUAUCAGGGACGAAUUAUUGACGGUACCUGAUGAAUAAGUCACUGCUAACUUCGU